rnacentral:rRNA from 1 species
ACUCCUACGGGAGGCAGCAGUGGGGAAUAUUGCACAAUGGGCGCAAGCCUGAUGCAGCCAUGCCGCGUGUGUGAAGAAGGCCUUCGGGUUGUAAAGCACUUUCAGUCGUGAGGAAGGUAGUGUAGUUAAUAGCUGCAUUAUUUUGACGUUAGCGACAGAAGAAGCACCGGCUAACUCCGUGCCAGCAGCCGCGGUAAUACGGAGGGUGCGAGCGUUAAUCGGAAUUACUGGGCGUAAAGCGCAUGCAGGUGGUUUGUUAAGUCAGAUGUGAAAGCCCGGGGCUCAACCUCGGAAUAGCAUUUGAAACUGGCAGACUAGAGUACUGUAGAGGGGGUUAGAA